rnacentral:rRNA from 1 species
GACGAACGCUGGCGGCGUGCUUAACACAUGCAAGUCGAACGGAAAGGCCCUGCUUUUGUGGGGUGCUCGAGUGGCGAACGGGUGAGUAACACGUGAGUAACCUGCCCUUGACUUUGGGAUAACUUCAGGAAACUGGGGCUAAUACCGGAUAGGAGCUCCUGCUGCAUGGUGGGGGUUGGAAAGUUUCGGCGGUUGGGGAUGGACUCGCGGCUUAUCAGCUUGUUGGUGGGGUAGUGGCUUACCAAGGCUUUGACGGGUAGCCGGCCUGAGAGGGUGACCGGGCACAAUGGGACUGCGAUACGGCCCAGACUCCUACGGGAGGCAGCGGUGGGGAAUAUUGCGCAAUGGGCGGAAGCCUGAUGCAGCAACGCCGCGUGCGGGAUGACGGCCUUCUGGUUGUGAACCGCUUUCGCCUGUGACGAAGCGUUAGUGACGGUAAUGGGUAAAGAAGCACCGGCUAACUACGUG